GUUACUUCCUCAAAAAUCGUUAACAACGCACUGGAGGCUGAAGAUGCAGCCGGAGAAACUGCCCGAGCGUUGUCUCGCCCGUCUUCUGAUGCUGUGCCUGGUUCCCAGCAACAUUGUGGUUGUGAGGUGGAAAAGGAACCGUCAUCCUCCAGCUGUUAAUAUUAGUGACGGAAAUAUUGUUAGGUUGUUCUAAAAGGAGUCGGCACCUCAAGUUCAUAGCCUGCAAGUUCUGCGGCCAGGCGGUCUCUCAUCCACCUCCUGAUGCUGUGCCUGGUUCCCAGCAACAUUGUGGUUGUGAGGUGGAAAAGGAACCGUCAUCCUCCAGCUGUUAAUAUUAGUGACGGAAAUAUUGUUAGGUUGUUCUAAAAGGAGUCGGCACCUCAAGUUCAUAGCCUGCAAGUUCUGCGGCCAGGCGGUCUUUCAUCCACCUCCUGAUGCUGUGCCU